CCUCAGACCAACACAGCCACUGGUGAAUGCGAGAAUUUCCUCAUAAAACACUCCAAGUACAAAUCAGCCGCGAGAACUGCACGUAGCACAAUUCAUGUCACCAGAAACUCAUGCAUUUUCCCUGUUCAGGAUGUUUCUGCAGUCCACUACCACAGCCUUACGAGACACCAAUUAUCUAAAAAUUACAUUUUGAGAAACAUUAAGGAUAGAGACCACUAAGACAAAUAGAAAAAAAAAGAAAAAGAAAGGGAAGAAGAAGUGGAAGAAAUGUAGUUAAGUGGAAGAAAUGUAGUUACAAACUACAACACCUGGAAAAUUUCAAAAUCAAUAGGUUUUUGUUUUCUGUCAGUCAGGUACUGUCCUCCUUCUAUGGUGAUCCUUGUGCAUCAGGGAGAAAGUUGCAUGGGAAAAAGAAGCAAUACCCUGCAACAGGAUCUGAUCAGGAGAGGUCCAGCAAAAAAUUAUUAAAUUCUGCAUUCUUCAGUGAAAUUAACUGCUUGCAGAAUCAAGCCCAGCAUAUUGCAGUAUGAUUUUGUCUUGCUAAUGAAUCAACGGUCUUUACACAAGAACCUUUCCCACAGAACUAUGUGUGAGACCUGGACUCCAUACUGAAAAGCACACUUGAAGAUCUGGAUGCUUUGACAUCUGAAGAAACUAGUCUAAUUUCCUCAUGAUUUCUUGGAGAUAUUCUGAAUAUUUUUCAGAAGCCAACAUUACAGGCAAGAGAGUACUGAAGCAGGAUUUCAGCUGCAGUUACAGAACAGGAGUAUUUGGCUAUUGAAAGGCAAACCUCUAGCAAACACACUGUGUGGAGUACUUGCACACUGGCAUCAGCAGCCUAGAUGCCUCAUCUUAGAGCAGAGAUCUCUCCAGUCUUCCUGACAAUGGACAAGGUUAUAAAUGGCUGAGUUCACAUUCCUUCUUGUUAGAAUAGCAAGAUGUCAACAGAAAUUGAAUCAGUUAAGCAGUGAAGAACUAAUGAAACUUCCCAAGAGGUGAUAGAAAACUCUUUUUCUUCACAAUUAGAUAAAAAAACCUGAGAAAUCACAUUAACACAAUCCCCAGAAUGAUAGUGAAAAGGGGCAAUGACUGAAGCUCAAGGAAUGCAAAAUUCUUAUCCCCAGUUGCAAUAUGAAAUGCUAUAUUAGGUCUGAAAUGCUCUGCAACAAAGCUUUCUAAUCAACAAAAAGAACCUUUAAUAUUUUUUUUAACUGAAUCUAAAACUUUCAUGAAGUAACAUCACAAAACUAGAUCAACUUAAGAGGAAACAGUACAAAAGUUUGUUCAUAACCACUGUCCAGUCAGGAAAGGUUAUUUAUUUAUUUAAACUUUACCACAAGGAAUUUUGUAUCAAUGCUUAUUGAAGUAAUUAAAGAAAAUCAUAGUGGCCCAUGAAGAAAUGACAUCUUGAGCCAAAUUUUCUGUAUGAUAGUUUUUCCUCUGCAGUCACUAACUACAGAAAUAGCUCAUUUGUCUUCAUUUUUUUUGCAGUUGCUGUUGAACUGUUCCCCCCAAAACAGUAAAAAAAUGCAAUACAAUAACGUGUGCUUUUCUUCUUCAUGUUUCUGAUGAGCUUACUCAUAAAGCAACGAUACAUUAUUCAUUAUUACAUGCACUGUUUUCCUAACUCCAACCUGCUGGAAACUAAGACAGCUAAGGAGUAUAGGAUUGGAUUUUAAUUUCUUAAAAGCAAAAUCAUAGAAGAUAUGGUUUUACUUAUGUUUUCAGGAAGGAUUGGUAGUUAAAAUAUUUUUAAAAGGAAUUGCAUUUUGAAGAAUACUGAAAUAUAGGUCAAAGUGCUUCUCAGAUCUCCAGAUUAUUUCCUUAAAUGGAAAACAAAUCUCUAGUCCAGUUUCAUAAACGCCAUAAUUCAUUUUUAAGAUUUGGAUUCCUGAAACUGCUGGAAUGUUGAAGUUCAUCAAGUCUUCACGUCUCACAGCCAAGGAGCACUUUAACCAAUCUUAUCUCCAGGAAUCAGGACUGUUCUCUUUGUAAAAAGUUCAAGAAUAAAUAAAAGGCAAGUAUGUUUUCUUGACCUCAGCCAAGAGAGAAAUAUUAGCUCUACAUAUUAACUCUGGUUAGAGACGUAUGUACAUAGAGACCAUACAUAUAUACAGAGCACUUCAGAAGGUCUACAGCUCUCUGUUUUAUAUUAGAGCCUUGCCAGUCACAAGAAGAAUUUCUUCAGGUCAUCCAGACCACAUGAAAUGACUUAGUACCCUGAAACUAACCAAAAAUCUGGGCCUCCAUCAAAAUCUUUCCCUAUAAGCAAAUCAUUUCAGUGAAGACUAGCAGCAGCUACAAAGUCUCAUGCUUAGGUAUGGGUGCCACUUCACAGUGAAUUCUGUUAAUGAUGCUUGUUAUCUUGUUGGACUGAUGAUAUCAGCAAAUGAUGAGAUUUCUUCAGCCCAAGGGGGCUAGAAAAUAUCUAUUCCAUUGAACUUUAAAAGGCAGACCUGUCAAAGGGCAAGUCCCUGGGGCAGACAGACUGGAUGGCAAUAACAUCCAGCGUCAGCUUACUGGGACAAGGAUAUGACCUAACUCCAAAUGAGCAGGUGGCUAGAUCAAAUUCUUCCCCAUUACCAAUUCACAGGAAAUAAGCUCUGUAAGAACUGCUCCUCCAGUAGUACAUCAUAUCAAAUGUAUUUGUAACAAAUACUGAUCUGAUCCAAUGCAGCUGCAGGUGCUUUGAUAGCCAAUUAGAUAAGGUCCCUCCAGCGCUUCCCUUAGGAAUCCCACCAAUGUCUUCAAUGCCCAAAAUAAAACCCCAAUGAUCUGUUCACUUGGUCCAUCUACAAAAUUACUUAUUGAACUCCUACACAGUAAAAAACUAUGGAAGAGGGAGCUUUUCAAGUGAUUUGUAUCUUCUUUAAAUACACAUACAAACUAACUUCUGUAUUGCUUUGUGAUAACAGUCAGUCCAAGACUGGACAGUGGAUGAAAAAAAACCCAAACCAAACAAACACCAUCCAGAAGCUACAAUACUGGUUAUCAGCCUGCUCCAUCAUUUUCCACACUUACCCUCACCUUCUGAUACUUUCAAGCAAAUACAUUUAUCCAUGCUCACUACUAUGAGGAGUCACUUUUCAGUGCAGGUCCUUUUGGCAGCCCUUCUCAAAUUAUAGGCACCUUAUACAACUAGCUGCUUAAAAUCCUUAUCUUCUACCUUUCUUCAACACCAAACUCCUCAGGAAGCUCAUUGAGAGAAGAUAUUUCUAACCAUAAUCUAAGUUCAAAUCUUGCUGCAGUCUAAAACUACUAUCAAGACAGAUUUUUGUCAGCAAUAGUGUAACCCAGUGAUUUAUUUUCCAAAUUUUAAAUCUAAACCACCUGGAUUCUCAUCUCUGCUCUACUGCCAGCUACAAGCUCAGAUAUACAAAUAAGUAACUAUAAAGUUACCUAGUUGAUGGCCACCACAAGGUAAUAAAAGCUGGUUUAGUGCUCUUCUACUGGCAGUAACAGGCAUUUUGAGAUUUAGAGGAGACCGAGGGGAGACCUCCUUGUGGUCUUCAUCCUUAUGAGGGGAAGCAGAUGGGCAGGCAUUAAUUUCUUCUACGUGGUGACAGUGACAGGACUCAAGAGAAUGGCCUGAAGUUGUGUCAGGGAAGGUUUAGGUCAGAUAUCAG